UCAAGUGACUAAGUGCAUGUGGCGGAUGCCUUGGCGAUCACAGGCGAAGAAAGACGCGGCAGCCUGCGAAAAGCUGCGGGGAGCUGGCAAACGAGCUUUGAUCCGCAGAUAUCUGAAUGGGGGAACCCACACCGCAAGGUGUAUCCGUGACUGAAUACAUAGGUUACGGAGGCGAACGAGGAGAACUGAAACAUCUAAGUAUCCUCAGGAAAAGAAAUCAACCGAGAUUCCGGCAGUAGCGGCGAGCGAACCCGGAGGAGCCUAGCUUUUGAUAGUACGAACUUUAGCCGAAAGGUCCUGGAAAGGCCUGCUAUAGUGGGUGAUAGCCCCGUAGGCGAAAGAGUUCGUACGGUACUAAGGAAGCGAGAAGUAGAGCGGGACACGUGGAAUCCUGUUCGAAGAUGGGGGGACCAUCCUCCAAGGCUAAAUACUCGUGAUCGACCGAUAGUGAACCAGUACCGUGAGGGAAAGGCGAAAAGAACCCCGGGAGGGGAGUGAAAUAGAACCUGAAACCGCAUGCAUACAAACAGUAGGAGCCUCGUCAGAGGUGACUGCGUACCUUUUGCAUAAUGGGUCAGCGACUUACAUUCUGUGGCGAGCUUAACCGAAUAGGGGAGGCGCAGCGAAAGCGAGUUCGAAAUGAGCGUCCAGUCGCAGGGUGUAGACCCGAAACCAGAUGAGCUAUCCAUGGCCAGGUUGAAGGUGUGGUAACACACACUGGAGGACCGAACCGACUAGUGUUGCAAAAUUAGCGGAUGAGCUGUGGAUAGGGGUGAAAGGCCAAACAAAUCUGGAGAUAGCUGGUUCUCCCCGAAAACUAUUGAGGUAGUGCCUCGUGUGUCGCUCCAGGGGGUAGAGCACUGUUUUGGCUAGGGGGACAUGGAGUCUUACCAAACCAAGGCAAACUCCGAAUACCUGGAAGCGUAAGCACGGGAGACAGAGCACCGGGUGCUAACGUCCGGACUCAAAAGGGAAACAACCCAGACCGCCGGCUAAGGUCCCCAAUAACAGCUAAGUGGAAAACGAAGUGGAAAGGCCGUGACAACCAGGAAGUUGGCUUAGAAGCAGCCAUCCUUCAAAGAAAGCGUAAUAGCUCACUGGUCGAGUCCUUCUGCGCGGAAGAUGUAACGGGGCUAAGCUGUUAACCGAAGCCGCGGAUGCACUGGUUAUCCAGUGCGUGGUAGGGGAGCGUUCUGUAAGUCUGCGAAGGCGGUUCGAGAGGACUGCUGGAGAUAUCAGAAGUGCGAAUGCUGACAUGAGUAACGUUAAAGCAGGUGAAAAGCCUGCUCGCCGUAAGCCCAAGGAUUCCUGCUCUACGUUCAUCGGAGCAGGGUGAGUCGGCUCCUAAGGUCAGGCCGAAAGGCGUAGCCGAUGGGAAUCAGGUUAAUAUUCCUGAACCUGCGUCAGAUGCGAUGGGGGGACGGAGCAUGAAAGAUCAUCCGGGUGUUGGAUGUCCCGGUUGACGAGCGUAGGAGGUCUGCAGGCAAAUCCGCAGACGCAUCUCCAAGGCGAAGUCACGUGCCGCCACGGCGGCGAAGUGAUCGGAAGUGCUUCCAAGAAAAGCCUCUAAGCACCAGUCUGACGCGGACCGUACCGCAAACCGACACUGGUGGGCGAGCUGAAUAUGCUCAGGCGCUUGAGAGAACUCGGGAGAAGGAACUCGGCAAAUUGACACCGUAACUUCGGAAGAAGGUGUGCCGUAGUAGCGUGAGAGGAGAGACACCUUGAGCGUGAAUCGGUCUCAGAGAAUAGGUGGCUGCGACUGUUUAUUAAAAACACAGCACUCUGCAAAGUCGAAAGACGACGUAUAGGGUGUGAUGCCUGCCCGGUGCUGGAAGAUUAAUUGAUGGGGUGAGAGCCCUUGAUCGAAGUCCCAGUAAACGGCGGCCGUAACUAUAACGGUCCUAAGGUAGCGAAAUUCCUUGUC
rnacentral:rRNA from 1 species